rnacentral:snRNA from 1 species
UGCCGCUCGCUUCGGCAGCACUUAGACUAAAAUUGGAACGAUGCAGAGUAGGUUAGCAUGGGUCUUGCGCAAGGAUGACACGCAAAUUUGUGGAGCAUUACAAUUGAUU